rnacentral:rRNA from 1 species
UACAGAGGGUGCGAGCGUUAAUCGGAAUUACUGGGCGUAAAGCGCACGUAGGUGGCGACGUAAGUCGGGUGUGAAAGCCCCGGGCUCAACCUGGGAAUUGCAUUCGAAACUGCAUUGCUGGAGUACGGAAGAGGAGGGCGGAAUUCCCGGUGUAGCGGUGAAAUGCGUAGAUAUCGGGAGGAACAUCAGUGGCGAAGGCGGCCCUCUGGUCCAGUACUGACACUCAAGUGCGAAAGCGUGGGGAGCAAACAGG